GAUAAUUUGCUUGUGGCAGCCAAAGUGUUCAUAGUGGCAUUGCUUUUUGAUCUUUCAACAUCAACUCUUCCUAUCAUUGUGAAGCAAAAUUCAUGAGGUGCUAAAUUGUUCACCCACCAAUAGGGAAUAUGAGCUGUGCCGCAAUAGUAAUUUAACUU
rnacentral:ncRNA from 1 species